rnacentral:rRNA from 1 species
UACAGAGGGGGCAAGCGUUAUUCGGAAUUAUUGGGCGUAAAGGGCUCGUAGGCGGUUUGUCGCGUCGGGAGUGAAAACAUCCAGCUUAACUGGGUGCUUGCUUUCGAUACGGGCAGACUUGAGGUAUGCAGGGGAGAAUGGAAUUCCUGGUGUAGCGGUGAAAUGCGCAGAUAUCAGGAGGAACACCGGUGGCGAAGGCGGUUCUCUGGGCAUUACCUGACGCUGAGGAGCGAAAGUGUGGGGAGCGAACAGG